CCUACGGGAGGCAGCAGUGGGGAAUAUUGCGCAAUGGACGAAAGUCUGACGCAGCGACGCCGCGUGUGGGAUGACGGUCUUCGGAUUGUAAACCCCUUUCGGGAGGGAAGAUGGGAUGGGGUAACCCAUUCGGACGGUACCUCCAGAAGCAGCCACGGCUAACUCUGUGCCAGCAGCCGCGGUAAU
rnacentral:rRNA from 1 species